AAGGGACCAAGCGAAAAUCGAGAUUACUGGAUGAAAGCGAGAGUAGGGGGUUCGUUAGGAAGGAAGCGAAAGCCAAGGGCUCAACCUGGGAACUGCAUUGAAAACUGGAAAGCUAGAGUAUGGUAAAGGGUGGUGGAAUUCCCGGUGUAGCGGUGAAAUGCGUAAAUAUCGGAAGGAACACCAAUGGCGAAGGCGACCACCUGGACUAAUACUGACCCUGAGGCGCGAAAGCGUGGGGAGCAAACAGGAUUAGAUACCCUGGUUUUUCACGCCCUAAACGAUGCCAACUGGA
rnacentral:rRNA from 1 species